UUUCAGAACCCAGAGAAGAAACUGCCAUGGAGUUGAUUCUGAAAGAUAAUGAACAAAAAGGAGUUACCAGGAAUGUUCUACCUCAGGUCUGCUGGCGUAACUACCAAGAAUUAGUCAGAACAGUGUAAGAAUAUUCUACGUACCAGGACCACAACAAAAUCAUGGAGAAAGUUUCUUCCAGUAAGCAAGUUAAAUAGUUCAACUAUCUUCAAAACCAGGGAAAUCCAUUUUCUUAGAAAUCUUCAUUGGGAAGACCAUAUAGAUAUCAGAGCAGCACAGAUAUGGGGACAAAGACCCAAUGUUGCUAACCUCACUGGAGAAGUUGAGCACCAAGGACAAUCCUAAAGAAUUAAUUAAAGAUCACACAGAGAUGUGUGGAAGGCAGCAGAACCAGUCCUUCCCAAGUGUCUUGGUGGAAGCAGAGGAUAAGGAUGAAGAGGGGAAGAGGAUGCCAGCCCUAAUCUCAAGAAGCCAUGUGAUGAUUGCAAAAGGAGGGGACACAAGAUCUGCUCACUCAGAUCCACAGGAACAAAUUAUUGGAUCAUACUUCAAACUGAUCUGUCAUCCUGCUGUGUCAAGACAUCAGAAUGUUCUAGAAUUCUUUAAUAACUCUUCCAAUUCUGAGAUCCUGUGGUUCUGUUCCAUGAGCCAAAACUCAGCUAUCGACUUUCCUUAA
rnacentral:lncRNA from 13 species